rnacentral:rRNA from 1 species
UGCAGUCGAACGGUAACAGAACUAGCUUGCUAGUUGCUGACGAGUGGCGGACGGGUGAGUAACGCGUAGGAAUCUACCGAGUAGCGGGGGACAACAGUUGGAAACGACUGCUAAUACCGCAUAAGCCCUAAGGGGGAAAGGAGGGGAUCUGUUUACAGACCUUUCGCUAUUUGAUGAGCCUGCGUGAAAUUAGCUAGUUGGUGAGGUAAGAGCUCACCAAGGCGACGAUCUCUAGCUGGUCUGAGAGGAUGAUCAGCCACACUGGGACUGAGACACGGCCCAGACUCCUACGGGAGGCAGCAGUGGGGAAUAUUGCACAAUGGGGGAAACCCUGAUGCAGCCAUGCCGCGUGUGUGAAGAAGGCCUUCGGGUUGUAAAGCACUUUCAGUUGUGAGGAAAGGUUAGUAGUUAAUAACUGCUAGCUGUGACGUUAGCAACAGAAGAAGGACCGGCUAACUCCGUGCCAGCAGCCGCGGUAAUACGGAGGGUCCAAGCGUUAAUCGGAAUUACUGGGCGUAAAGCGCGCGUAGGUGGUUUGUUAAGUGGAAUGUGAAAGCCCUGGGCUCAACCUAGGAACUGCAUCCCAAACUGACAGACUAGAGUACAAUAGAGGGGUGUGGAAUUUCCUGUGUAGCGGUGAAAUGCGUAGAUAUAGGAAGGAACACCA